UAGGGAAUCUUCGGCAAAUGGACGAAAGUCUGACCGAGCAACGCCGCGUGAGUGAAGAAGGUUUUCGGAUCGUAAAACUCUGUUGGUAGAGAAGAACGUUGGUGAGAGUGGAAAGCUCAUCAAGUGACGGUAACUACCCAGAAAGGGACGGCUAACUACGUGUCAG
rnacentral:rRNA from 1 species